rnacentral:piRNA from 1 species
UGAGACGCAGAAGUACCAUGACCUGGCC